UUGGGGCGUGCCUGGAGGACAGAAAGCGGACGUGGUGGGUUGGGGUCCCGGCAGGCCGCAUGACGUCCCCAUGGGGUACGCGCUUGUGCGGGAAUCUUUGGACCCAACCUAGAGAGCGCCAAGGUCACCUCCGGGACGCUCCCCAGGAACCCCAACACCGCCCCUCCCCCAGAACAAGGGAGGCGGGGGGGGCACCUUUAGGGGGGGAGUUCGGGUGAUGCUGGUGUCAUAAAGGCCAGCUGAUGGCCACAGGGACCAGCACAGUGCGACCUGUCACAGCGUGACAGUCCAGGCAGACACUGGUGUACAGUGACAUGGGUCACUUCCCAGCUCCCCCACUCUCGGGCACCCUAACUUGCACCCCAAAGGCCAGGUGGGCUCCGCAUUCACACUGGACAGUGCAGUGCGGCCGCACUCUUUCCCCUCAUGUGGGAGAAAACGGAUCCCUCAUCUGGCUCCCGGCUUCAGCUUGCUAGAAUUCCUGGAAGAAUACUAAAAAAGGGUCUGAAACGCCCGUGACAGUGACAGCAAGGAACACUGAGUACACGUCAGGGCCUCGCCUAGUCAGAGUUCAUGAGAUCUCUCCAGGGUGGCCGAGGGGGUGAGCACCCCAUCACCGGAGGGAUGCAAGCAGAGUCUGGGUAAACA